rnacentral:rRNA from 1 species
AAUGAACGCUGGCGGCGUGCCUAACACAUGCAAGUCGGAUGUGCCGCAAGGUGCAUGGCAGACGGGUGAGUAACGCGUGGGCAAUCUACCUUUUAGCAGGGAAUAACGUUCCGAAAGGAAUGGUAAUACCGCAUGUGAUCACAGGCUGGGAUGCUUGUGAUGAAAGCUGGGGACCGCAAGGCCUGGCGCUCGAAGAGGAGCCCGCGUCUGAUUAGCUAGUUGGUGGGGUAAUGGCCUACCAAGGCGACGAUCAGUAGCCGGCCUGAGAGGGUGAUCGGCCACACUGGAACUGAGACACGGUCCAGACUCCUACGGGAGGCAGCAGUGGGGAAUUUUGCGCAAUGGACGAAAGUCUGACGCAGCAACGCCGCGUGGGUGAUGAAGGUCUUCGGAUUGUAAAACCCUGUCGUCGAGGACGAAGGUGAGGGCGUUAAUAGCGUCUUUGCUUGACGGUACUCGGAGAGGAAGCCCCGGCUAACUCUGUGCCAGCCGCCGCAGUAAUAC